UACAGAGGAGCCAAGCGUUGUCCGGAUUGACUGGGCGUAAAGCGCACGCAGGCGGAUGCGCGCGUGGGGUGUGAAAUCUGGCCGCUUAACGGCCAGGCGCCAUCCCAUACGGCGCGUCUGGAGUGAUGCAGAGGUCGGUGGAAUUGCCGGUGUAGUGGUGAAAUGCGUAGAGAUCGGCAGGAACACCCAGGGGGAAACCAGUCGACUGGGCAUUUGCUGACGCUGAGGUGCGAGAGCGUGGGGAGCGAACCGG
rnacentral:rRNA from 1 species